AGUGGCAAAGAGCAACCAAAGAACUACACACCUAACAAUGUCAAGGCAGAGAAAGAAGCUUCUGGGCAGUUAGUGUGUGAAUUAUGAAAGGAAGAUGAAUGGGAGGUACGAAGGUGGGAAAAACAGACUGAAGUAGCUUGUCACUUCUACCUAGGACCAGUCUUGCUUUUAAGUAUAAUGAAUACCAGAUUUAUCAGUGAUGAAAUUGGACACACUCGAUUUUCCUCCCACUGGUAAUAUUUGCAGUCAGCAUGAAUAGACUUUCUCAGUACAGUUUUCAACUCCUGGCACAACAGUAUCCUUUUUCCAAACUAUAGCAUAAAUCACAGAAAAGUAUCUCCUCAUUUGUUUGGGAUGAGUUUUAAUUCAGAAACAAUUUAUAGUAAUAUUCUAAGAGACUGACUGAAUUUGCUUUCCCAACUGAAAAAGGAAUCAACUAUUUGUUAUUAUUUAAUGAAGCUUUGAAGCAUGAGGAAGUCAAUUAUUCUUCAGUGCAGUGAUGUACAAAGGGGACUCCUGCAUUUUCCCUGUUCCCUGAAGAGAUUAAGAACUUCUGAGUGGAGACAAACGGGAAAAAAUAUUGUUUGUGGAACCUUGCCUAGGCUUGAUGAGAAGGAGGAAAGAGCUCUUACAGCUAAAACUAAUCAGUAACUGUGGUUUCUCCAAACAUGGAAGAAUUUUCCAUCAACAGUCACAAUGGGGAGUGUCUAGUUGGACCAUCAUGGAAGAUGGAAUUUCUCAUUUAACAGCUGCAACAAUAACAUACAAAUAAAUUUACUGAUCAAUAAGGGAUGUACUUUCAGGGGCCUCAAGAAGGUUAGCAGGAUUAAAUGAAGCAAAAAGGAUGGAGCCCUAAUUCAAUAGGAAUGAUGUGAUUAUAAGAAGAGAAAGAGACACCAAAGCACAGAGGCAAGAUGGUGUGAGGACACAAUGGGAAGGUGGCAUCUGCAACUAAGGAGAGAAGCUUCUGGAUAAACCAAAUUUGCUGACCUCUUAACCUUGGACAUCCAGUCUCUAGAACAGUGAAAAAAUUAAUUUCUGUGGUUUAAACUACAUAGUCUUUGCAACUUUGUUAUGGCAGCCCUGGCAGACUAUCAGAAAUGCAUUAAGAUGUUCACAA
rnacentral:lncRNA from 1 species